rnacentral:rRNA from 1 species
AUGAAACCAAGCAAAGCACCAGGCCUAGAUAACAUCCCUAUUGAAUUUUUCCAAUAUUAUUGUUGGGAGAUUGUUAAGGGUGAGGUGAUGCUUUUAUUUGAAUGGUUCCCUGAUAAUAAACUAGAUGUGCAAUGCUUGAACUAUGUGAUUAUUACUCUGCUUCCUAAAGUUGUUGGUGCAAAUAAAAUUCAACAAUUUUGCCCGAUAUAUUUACUACGGUGCAUCUAUAAGCUAAUUACCAUGGUGCUUACUAUUAGGCUAGAACCUUUUGUUGAUAUCUUGUUCAGUAGACACCGGAAUGCUUUUAUUAAGAAAUGA